rnacentral:misc_RNA from 1 species
UGGAAAUCAAUGGAACUUACCUAGGUGAAAUGCUACGCGAUAGUGAAAAAUAUAGUUUGACUGCAAGCAAAUUAAUAAAAUAUGAGAAAUGAGAAUCGAAUGAAGCCAGGGAAGCCCAUUGAAUUGAAGAAAUGAAGGGUCAUCAGUGAGUCUGCAGAUAACUCCAACGGAUAGUGUUACCGGAAGAAACGCGAGAAGACUGAGUGAAAAAGGACGCGAGCCUAUUUCGUCUGAUAAAGUGUGUGCUUCGUAUUGAAAUUGAUUCAUUUGGGUCAUUGAAUAUUCAUUGUGCGGUGUAGUGAGUUCUGAAAGGUUGUAAAGGAUUACGGGGCAGACGAAGGCCUUGCUGUGGCCAGUAUAAUAGGUGCAGACGUGCAAAUAUCGAACGGGAAGGGAUGUCUACCAUCAAAUCAAAUAGGAUGCAAUUCAGACGAUAACAUGACUAGGGACGGGGAAAUUCCCGCAAUAUUUAACCCCAAACGAGUUCGUGCCCCAUCGGUUGUUGUAACCGGGGAUUCACCAAACGGACCGUUUGGGGGUUUCACAAACAUCAUAAAUGCCUCAAAUCCUCAAAUCACUCAUUCGGAUUCGGUAACAUCGAGUCAACAUGAUGGCGGUGAAAGUGGCACCUGUUUGCAAAGCAAUAACAACCUUGAACGCGGAACUGCCACCCCCACGACUGAAGCCCCACCCGCCCCCAGUGCCGUACAGUCGAGACGGCUCAAAGCUUGCAAAGAGUCAUGUUGUUCGGAAUUGGCGCAAAAGAUGUACUUUGGUGUAUGCGUUACAAUCCUGGUGACCGCAUCCUGGGUAGGAGCAACGCAUUGCAUUAAAUUCCUGUAUCUACGGCGAAGUACAUACACAAAAAUGUCGGAAGCGCUACUCGAUUCGGAAGUUGAAAAUGUUGGCAACACAACCAUUUUCCACAUACCAAAGUUAACUACAACAACGGCGGCUGUUUUUAAUGCUCCAUUUUUCGCUUCGUGGUUUUGUACAAAUUUCGCUUUUCUUUUUUUCCCGAUUUAUCUGAUAGGACGAAUUGCGGUCAGGAAAUGCGAUAAACCUGGCGAGAUAUUAGGUGAUGUAUUGAGAGGAUUUCGAGAUCGAGGCUUUACAAUUGGACGAUUCCUUAAUCGAUGUCUUUCGUUCUGUAUGCUGUGGGUGCUUACAACAUACCUUUUUGCGUUAUCCUUACGAGCCCUAUUAGCUACGGACGUCAUGGCAUUGUUUGCAACAAAUGUCGCGUGCGUGUAUCUACUCUCUUGGGUGAUAUUACACGAACAAUUUGUAGGUGUACGAAUUGUUGCCGUGAUAUUGUGUGAUACGGGAAUCGCUCUUCUGGCCUACAUGGACGGAAUUACAGGGAGCCCAACGUUGGGCGGAGUUGUGUUGGCCGCUCUGGCAGCGGCAGGUUAUGCUGUUUUUAAGGUGAUGUUUAGGAAAGUAAUGGGUGAUCCACCAGUCGGGCAGGUUGCCUUUGCUUUCACUACAAUUGGGUUUCUGAAUGCUGCUCUACUGUGGCCGGUGUGCGUAGCACUGUAUCUGACGGGGACAGAAACCAUCCCUUCAGAUCGACUGCCUUGGAUUGUCUUGCUGAUAGCAAGUGUACUACUUUUAGUUUUCCAUAUUCUUACACAGUUUAGUUCGGCUGUAACGUAUAAUUUAUUUGUUACCCUUGGAUUAAUAACGGCUGUUCCAGUGUCUGGAGCUUUAGAUGUAGUCCUUUAUGGUGCUCAGUUUGCUGGUAUGAAAUUGGCUGGCGUAAUCUUGAUUGCCGUCGGAUUCUUUCUUGUCAUGUUCCCCGAAAAUUGGCCAGACUACAUUACAAGACUGUUAAGAAAUAUCAUCUUGUUGGGUCACAACGCGAGUCGGCCGGCCUUUUGUAGGCGCGACAUUGUUGUCACCACACCGGCAACGAGGUAGGCGAAGGACAAAACACGCUCAAAAAAUACAUGAAAAAUUCACUAAAUCUAGAUGGGGACGAGGUCCCCACAGCGGUUCGCUAACGGGCCAACAUCCUACCGUCAUCGACUAUCGGACGGGCUAUAUACGUUCCCAUCUUCGAUCCCCGUCCGGUCGUGUGAGAUGACCGAUUUA